rnacentral:rRNA from 1 species
UUUGGCUCAGGACGAACGCUGGCGGCGUGCCUAACACAUGCAAGUCGAGCGGAGAUUGCAGUAAUGUAAUCUUAGCGGCGGACGGGUGAGUAACGCGUAGGUAACCUACCUUAUGCAGGGGGAUAACACUGGGAAACUAGUGCUAAUACCGUAUAAAAUAUUUAGAAGGCAUCUUCUAAAUAUCAAAGGAGAAAUCCAGCAUAAGAUGGACCUGCGUCCGAUUAGCUAGUUGGUAAGGUAAAGGCUUACCAAGGCGACGAUCGGUAGCCGAACUGAGAGGUUGAUCGGCCACAUUGGGACCGAGACACGGCCCAGACUCCUACGGGAGGCAGCAGUGGGGAAUAUUGCGCAAUGGGGGAAACCCUGACGCAGCAACGCCGCGUGAAGGAUGAAGGUUUUCGGAUUGUAAACUUCUUUGAUUGGGGACGAAUAAAUGACGGUACCCAAAAAACAAGCCACGGCUAACUACGUGCCAGCAGCCGCGGUAAUACGUAGGUGGCAAGCGUUGUCCGGAAUUAUUGGGUGUAAAGGGCGUGUAGGCGGGAAUGUAAGUCAGAUGUGAAAUACCGAAGCUUAACUUCGGGGCUGCGUCUGAAACUAUGUUUCUUGAGUGCUGGAGAGGAAAGCGGAAUUCCUAGUGUAGCGGUGAAAUGCGUAGAUAUUAGGAGGAACACCAGUGGCGAAGGCGGCUUUCUGGACAGUAACUGACGCUGAGGCGCGAAAGCGUGGGGAGCAAACAGGAUUAGAUACCCUGGUAGUCCACGCUGUAAACGAUGGAUACUAGGUGUAGGAGGUAUCGACCCCUUCUGUGCCGGAGUUAACACAAUAAGUAUCCCACCUGGGGAGUACGGCCGCAAGGUUGAAACUCAAAGGAAUUGACGGGGGCCCGCACAAGCAGUGGAGUAUGUGGUUUAAUUCGAAGCAACGCGAAGAACCUUACCAGGACUUGACAUCCCUCGAAGUUUAUAGAAAUAUAAAUGUCCUUCGGGACGAGGAGACAGGUGGUGCAUGGUUGUCGUCAGCUCGUGUCGUGAGAUGUUGGGUUAAGUCCCGCAACGAGCGCAACCCUUGUUGUUAGUUGCCAGCAUGUAAUGAUGGGCACUCUAGCGAGACUGCCGGUGAUAAAUCGGAGGAAGGUGGGGACGACGUCAAAUCAUCAUGCCCCUUAUGUUCUGGGCUACACACGUACUACAAUGGCUAUUACAGAGGGAAGCAAUACCGCAAGGAGGAGCAAAUCCCAAAAAAUAGUCCCAGUUCGGAUUGUGGGCUGAAACCCGCCCACAUGAAGUCGGAAUUGCUAGUAAUGGCAGGUCAGCAUACUGCCGUGAAUAC